GAGUCAUUGGGACUCUGUUAAACCUAAAGGCGCAAUGAAAGUAAAGGUCCGCCUCGCGCGGACCGAGGGAGGAUGGGCCCGUCCCCGGACGGGCCCCGCACUCCCGGGGCGUCUCGUCCUCAUCGCGAGGAGAGGCGCACCCAGAGCGUACACGCUGGGACCCGAAAGAUGGUGAACUAUGCCUGGUCAGGACGAAGUCAGGGGAAACCCUGAUGGAGGUCCGUAGCGAUUCUGACGUGCAAAUCGAUCGUCGGAACUGGGUAUAGG
rnacentral:rRNA from 1 species